GCCUGGGUGGCUUGGUCGGUUAAGCAUCUGACUUUGGCUCAGGUCAUGAUCUCGCGGUCCGUGAGUUCGAGCCCCGCGUCGGGCU
rnacentral:tRNA from 1 species